AAAGGAAUAGACGGGGGCUCACACAAGCGGUGGAGGAUGUGGCUUAAUUCGAGGCUACGCGAAGAACCUUAUCCUAGGCUUGACAUGCAUGGAUACCCUCCCUGAAAGGGGAGUAAGUUGCUAGCAAUAGUGAAACUUGCACAGGUGCUGCAUGGCUGUCGUCAGCUCGUGUCGUGAGACGUCGGGUUAAGUCCCUUAACGAGCGAAACCCCUGUCGUUAGUUGCCAGCGAUUCGGUCGGGUACUCUAACGAGACUGCCUAAGUUAAUGCGGAGGAAGGCGGGGACGACGUCAAGUCCUCAUGGCCCUUACGCCUAGGGCUGCACACGUCCUACAAUGGAUUCCACAAAGGGAAGCGAGACCGCGAGGUUUAGCAAAUCCCCAAAAAGGAUCCUCAGUUCGGAUUGUAGUCUGCAACUCGACUACAUGAAGCCGGAAUCGCUAGUAAUCGCGGGUCAGCAUACCGCGGUGAAUGUGUUCCUGAGCCUUGUACACACCGCCCGU
rnacentral:rRNA from 1 species